rnacentral:rRNA from 1 species
UACGAAGGGGGCUAGCGUUGCUCGGAAUCACUGGGCGUAAAGCGCACGUAGGCGGCGUCUUAAGUCAGGGGUGAAAUCCUGGAGCUCAACUCCAGAACUGCCUUUGAUACUGAGGAUCUUGAGUUCGGGAGAGGUGAGUGGAACUGCGAGUGUAGAGGUGAAAUUCGUAGAUAUUCGCAAGAACACCAGUGGCGAAGGCGGCUCACUGGCCCGAUACUGACGCUGAGGCACGAAAGCGUGGGGAGCAAACAGG